GCUAGUCCAAUUUCAAGGUCUACGAGCAUGGUGCCUUUAAUCUCUAACUGUUUAGUACACCAUAUUGUCGAGAUCGGUACCAGACAUGUGCUAACCUGGAAAGUCGUUGGGCGGAAAUUCUGAAUGUCUUCGAAAAUGACUCGAUCUUUGAGGAUAGGAUGACGAAAUACAGCAGAGAAACUAUUGAAGAUGAAAGGGUAACGUUUGUUAAAGGAGCAGGAGUACAAGAUUUUUUUCAAGGGAGGGAGUCUACUUUUCGCCCCUCGGUUAUUGGAAUGGGCACUCACCUGUUCACCCCCGUUUCCUUCAGUGCCACCUCCGUCCACGCCCCUACUCCAUCAAGGUGUGUCUCCUAACUUAUUACUCAGACCUUCAAGUCUCCAACCGGUAUUAGGCAAUGCUGGCAUGGCUACAGAUAAAACUUUCGCGCAGGUAUGUGUAACUCGAGAUAA